AGAGAGAGAGGGGAGGGGGGACAUGCAGCAAAGGGCCGCAGGUUGGAUUCAAACCCGGGCCGCUGCAAGACUCAGCCGACAUGGGGCGAACGCUGUUAUUGGGUAAGCUUGGGGCCGCCCAAUCAUUGUUA